CAGAGUUCAUGCCCUUCGGGGUAGAUCUCCCACCCUAUGUAUUUAUACCUUUGUUGCUUUGGCAGGCCUGCCUCGGCCACCGGCUCCGGCUGGUGAGCGCCUGCCAGAGGACCCCAAACUCUGAAUAUUAGUGUCGUCUGAGUACUAUAUAAUAGUUA
rnacentral:misc_RNA from 1 species